rnacentral:rRNA from 1 species
AUUGAACGCUGGCGGCAGGCCUAACACAUGCAAGUCGAGCGGAGCGGCGGACGGGUGAGUAAUGCCUAGGAAUCUGCCUGGUAGUGGGGGAUAACGUCCGGAAACGGGCGCUAAUACCGCAUACUAUCAGAUGAGCCUAGGUCGGAUUAGCUAGGUGGUGGGGUAAAGGCCUACCAAGGCGACGAUCCUUAACUGGUCUGAGAGGAUGAUCAGUCACACUGGAACUGAGCCACGGUCCCGACUCCUACGUGAGGCAGUAGUGGGGAAUAUUUGACAAUGUGCGAAAGCCUGAUCCAGCCAUGCCGCGUGUGUGAAGAAGGUCUUCGGAUUGUAAAGCACUUUAAGUUGGGAGGCGUUACCAACAGAAUAAUCACCGGCUAACUUCGUGCCAGCCGCCGCGGUAAUUC